CAAUGGGCGAAAGCCUGACCCAGCAACGCCGCGUGAGGGAUGAAGUAUUUCGGUAUGUAAACCUCGAAAGAAUGGGAAGAAUAAAUGACGGUACCAUUUAUAAGCUCCGGCUAACUACGUGCCAGCAGCCGCGGUAAUACGUAGGGAGCAAGCGUUGUUCGGAUUUACUGGGCGUAAAGGGCGCGUAGGCGGCGCGGUAAGUCACUUGUGAAAUCUCUGAGCUUAACUCAGAACGGCCAAGUGAUACUGCUGUGCUAGAGUGCGGAAGAGGCAACCGGAAUUCUUGGUGUAGCGGUGAAAUGCGUAGAUAUCAAGAGGAACACCUGAGGCGAAGGCGGGUUGCGGGGCCGACACUGACGCUGAUGCGCGAAAGCCAGGGGAGCAAACG
rnacentral:rRNA from 1 species